GGAGACGAUACUCGGACUUACUGUUUAUUUAUUACUUGAUACGAUCUGGUACACUUGUCAGGGUGUUAACAAGUUUUUGGCGCCGUUGUCGGGGACUCAUUGGUUUAACUAUUCUAGUAGUGUGAUUAUCGAUUGAAUUUGACUUGAUUUUUGUUUUUGUUUUUUUUUUAAUUUUUAUAUAAAAGUGCUUUUAGGAUUUUGGUUGAUCGACAUUUCCUUCUUAUUCUACUUCUCUCAAUCUUUGGAAGAUUGUGGCUGCCCUGUUGUGACUACAGGAAGAGGACAUGCCGCGUUCUGGGAUAACUUUGAGGAUUGUUUAAAGUUGACAAAGACUGCAGGAGAGGGGAUAUCUUGCGGCUUUCUUUCGGUGUUUGUUGGGGCAAAUCGGCAAGUGUACCAAGUCACACAAGUAAUAUAAAAUGGUAAGACCAAGUAUCGUAUCCCAG
rnacentral:lncRNA from 1 species